UACGGAGGGUGCAAGCGUUAAUCGGAAUUACUGGGCGUAAAGCGCACGUAGGCGGUUUGUUAAGUCAGAUGUGAAAUCCCCGAGCUUAACUUGGGAACUGCAUUUGAAACUGGCAAGCUAGAGUCUUGUAGAGGGGGGUAGAAUUCCAGGUGUAGCGGUGAAAUGCGUAGAGAUCUGGAGGAAUACCGGUGGCGAAGGCGGCCCCCUGGACAAAGACUGACGCUCAGGUGCGAAAGCGUGGGGAGCAAGCAGG
rnacentral:rRNA from 1 species